CACACACAAACACACACACACUCACUCGCGCACACAGUAAGUUUCACAGGUUAAAGACUUUUUGAAGUAAAGAGGAGCAUCUCAUCUGAACCUGAUGUCUAUCAUGGAUGUUUAACUGCUGUUCUGUGAGUAUCCCAACUUAUCCUUGAAGCAUAACUGCAAACUGUAAGUCAUUAAUUUCUCAUUACUCUUGGGCACAUUCAUGUAUUUUGGCUUCCUGGUGAGUUAACUGUUACCUGAAGGUUGAUCUGAGUAUUAAGGAUGUUUUAUUGGUUCAUCGGUUACUUAGGUGUUUGGUUUAUGUUGGUUUUAAUGAUUUGUUAAAAUGGUUACAGGCUCCAAGUUAUUGUUGUAAGCUGGAGUAAUGGGUUGGGUUCUGAUAUCUUCAGUCUUCUUUCAUUCUACUCUGCUCUGCAUCUUCAUCACAUGAGUGUUUCUUCACUGAUGAGGCUGUGGUCUGAGUGAGCAGAGGUACAUACUGGGAUACAGAGCUGUCUGAAGUCUACAGGUCUGUAGACACGCCCCCUCAGGGGAAACCAAGUGUUUGCGAAACUGUGGUGACGUCAGUUACAUGGACUGGAAUGUUCUUAAAGAUGGAGACAGGGAUUCAGAAAGAGAAACACCAGGGGGAGAUGAGGGGGCUCCUCGUCUCAACGACUAAAACACAACCGCAGUCUGACACAGAGAAUCAUGGAACACAUUCAACAGUCCCCUCCAGGCAUCGUGACUCCUCGAACAGUUUCAUUUCCAAGAAGGUCUUAUUUGGGGCCAUCCCCAGAUGGAUCCUGCUCCUCAAGAGCCACCCCCCUCCACUGGGUGGUCUUCUGAACAGAUUACCUCCUUCCUGUCCUCAGGCUGACUAAAGCUGCAUCGUUUGCAUCUGUGAAGGCCCCUCUUUCAGGAAACCACUGGACUACAAAGACAUGACUUCAGAGAUGUUGAAUCAAACUGGGACACAUUUUGAAGACGCCAAGCAUAAUCCAUCACAAUGUGGGACGCCACUGAAGAAUGUUGUACAUAAUUUACGUCUCUGGAGACAUUGGUUGUUCUGUUAUGGGUGCCCUGGCAGGAGAGCUGGGGGGGGAUGAUGGAAUGUUAUUUGGCAUGAGGUUUUUACCCUGCAUGAUUGUUUGGCCUUUUAUGGCUCAGUGGUGUGUGUUUGGGUUUGACAUGAGAUGGAAGGGUUCUUGUGUAGUGUGUGUGUGUGUCCCACUCACACCUGGCAUGGAGUUCUGUGUGUGUGUGUGUGUGUGUGUGUGUGUCCGUGUGCGGCUUGCUUUGACAGUGAUAAUGUUCAUACGGGGUUCUGUGUGAUUGGCUUGGGAUAUUGGAAUGGUCAACUAAAUCAUACCUGAUGGACGGCCACACGUUUACUUAAGGGCCUCCAGUAGACAUGAAGAGCCCUGAGCGACGCUCCGGAGCGAUAUCCAACACACUGGGCAGGAAGGAGAGUAUCCAACUCAAGUGUAAAAGGAUGCAAGCGGCGUGUUCAGAUCAGUGACUUCAAACUAGGACUACACCAAUCAGGAUCAAUGGAGGAUGGACACCAAAAGGAAUUCCACAAGGAGAGUCUGACGUUGGAAAGGGACCUAAAUGGAUAUUCAAGAUGACCUUCAGACCUGUAAUGAGACGGCUCUUCCUACCUGGCUGGAUUGAUGGAGAGCCCUGUGGAUCUUGUCUUGCUCUCAGUUGCACGUCUUCUCAGGCUGAACUGUAUUUGUUUCGGACAGGACUAGCUGAACGAUUGGUUCCCUUAAAUCAGAACCAAUCCGGGAACUCCAGCUAGUGCGCUCUUCGAGCUGAAGUUGUGCUCUUCAGCUGAGGAGGUAAGGAAACCUUCACUGGGGCUUCAAGGUGUAAAGAGGAGAAUGUUUCAAAGUGUUCCAUGGUACUCUGAUGAAGACCGUUGUUGUGUUCCACUGGCUGAGAGGAAGAACCCACACAUCUUCCUCUUGGCCUUUCUCCUCUGAGAAUCCUGGCGCCAUCUUGAAGGAUAUUCCAGCUCAUGUAACUGAUGUCACAACAGAUUCUCAAACACUUGGUUUCUCCUGAGGGGCGUGUCUAUGGAACUGAAGACUUCAGACAGCACUGUAUCCCAGCAUGCAUCUCUGCUCACUCAGACCACACCCCCAUGAGUAGGAUGCAACACUCUAGUGAUGGAGAUGUAGAGUUUUAUAAGUAACGAGGGAGCAGACUAAGGUGAUUAGAACACAAUGGAAUGUCAAGUCUGUAAAUCUUUAAACCAUGAAGAUGGUUGGAUAGUUCAGGAAUUGGGCUUAUUUUUAUUAUGGGCAGUCCUUUCACUCAGAUGCCCACUUCUCACUGGAGCUGUACAGGUGUUGGCUGGCUGGCAUGAUUUGCUGUUGGUGAUGAGGCGGUCAGGGUGACGUUGCAGUGCUUUGGUCGGCUCUCUGUGAGGUCAACGUUUAGAUUUGCUCUGUAUGGUUUGUACCCUGAAUAAUCUAGAUAAUUGUAAAAUGUAGACACAGUUUUGCAUUGAAUGAUUCCAGGAUUUUAGGUUUAAAGUUGUUGUGGUAGUAUGGUAGUUUGGUUCUUCGUAUAGUUUUGAGUGAUAUAACUUGUACACACUGGGUGCAUAAUAAUAUAAAGGUACACUGAAUAGUAUUAAUGACCAACAGCAACAAACAGAUCUCCUCAAGGUAAGUCUGUUGGCUGUAUUUUAAUGUAGACCAUCGCUGGACUUCAGGAUCUUCCUCCGUUCAGCUCAAGGUGAGGCGCUGGUUCUGUUUUUCUUUGGUUGGUUCCGGCUGGAAUGUUCGGAUUCCAGUCGGACGGUUUGUGCUUCCCGCCGUGGAAGGUUCUGAGUGCGGUCACUUGAUUUACCGUAGUACCAAUGGUUAGCAUAGAAUGUUGUAGUCUUGACAACCAUAGACAUCUUAUAAGAA
ensembl:lncRNA